GUGAGGGGCGCUUUUAUUAGAUCAAAACCAAACGGCUACGGUCGUCAACUUGGUGAUUCUGAAUAACUUUGGGCUGAUCGCACGGCUUCACGCCGGCGACGUAUCUUUCUAAGGUGUGCCCUAUCAACUGUCGACUGUGGCAUAGACGCCCACAGUGGUUUUGACGGGUAACGGGGAAUCAGGGUUCGAUUCCGGAGAGGGAGCCUGAGAAACGGCUACCACUUCUAAGGAAGGCAGCAGGCACGCAAAUUACCCACUGGUCGAAGACCGAGGUAGUGACGAAAAAUAACGAUACCGGUCUCAUCCGAGGCCCGGUAAUCGGAAUGAGUACACUUUAAAUCCUUUAACGAGGAACAAUUGGAGGGCAAGUCUAGUGCCAGCAGCCGCGGUAAUUCUAGCUCCAAUAGCGUAUAUUAAAGUUGUUGCGGUUAAAAAGCUCGUAGUUGGAUCUCGGCGGGAAGGAGGCGGUUCGAUAUUUGUCGCUACUGCCUCAUUUUCCCGUGUUGGUGACGGAGGUUCCAGGGUGCUCUUAAUCGAGUGUCCUGGGAUGCCGUCAGGUUUACUUUGAAAAAAUUAGAGUGCUCAAAGCAGGCUUUACACGCUUGAAUAUUCGUGCAUGGAAUAAUGGAAUAGGAUGUCGUUUCUAUUUUGUUGGUUUUCGGAAAUCGACAUAAUGAUUAAUAGGGACAGUUGGGGGCAUUAGUAUUCAGACGACAGAGGUGAAAUUCUUGGACCGUCUGAAGACUAACUACUGCGAAAGCAUUUGCCAAGAAUGUUUUCAUUAAUCAAGAACGAAAGUUAGAGGUUCGAAGGCGAUCAGAUACCGCCCUAGUUCUAACCAUAAACGAUGCCAGCUAGCGAUCCGCAGACGUUAUUUUCUUAGGCUCUGCGGGAAGCUUCCGGGAAACCAAAGCUUUUGGGUUCCGGGGGAAGUAUGGUUGCAAAGCUGAAACUUAAAGGAAUUGACGGAAGGGCACCACCAGGAGUGGAGCCUGCGGCUUAAUUUGACUCAACACGGGAAAUCUCACCAGGCCCGGACACUGGAAGGAUUGACAGAUUGAGAGCUCUUUCUCGAUUCGGUGGGUGGUGGUGCAUGGCCGUUCUUAGUUGGUGGAGUGAUUUGUCUGGUUAAUUCCGAUAACGAACGAGACUCUGUCCUGCUAAAUAGUUCCAACGUCUCUUUUGCGUUGGAAUUUCUUCUUAGAGGGACUGGCGGCGUCUAGCCGCACGAGAUUGAGCAAUAACAGGUCUGUGAUGCCCUUAGAUGUUCUGGGCCGCACGCGCGCUACACUGAAGGGAUCAGCGUGUUCUCCCUUGCCGAGAGGCACGGGUAACCCGCUGAACCCCCUUCGUGGUAGGGAUCGGGGCUUGCAAUUAUUCCCCGUGAACCAGGAAUUCCCAGUAAGCGCAAGUCAUAAGCUUGCGUUGAUUACGUCCCUGCCCUU
rnacentral:rRNA from 1 species